GACGAACGCUGGCGGCGUGCCUAAUACAUGCAAGUCGAACGCUGAAGGAGGAUCUUGCUUCUCUGGAUGAGUUGCGAACGGGUGAGUAACGCGUAGGUAGCCUGCCUGGUAGCGGGGGAUAACUAUUGGAAACGAUAGCUAAUACCGCAUAAUAGCAGUUGUUGCACGACAACUGUUUGAAAGGUGCAAUUGCACCACUACCAGAUGGACCUGCGUUGUAUUAGCUAGUUGGUGGGGUAACGGCUCACCAAGGCGACGAUACAUAGCCGACCUGAGAGGGGGAGCGGCCACACUGAGACUGAGACACGGCCCAGACUCCUACGGGAGGGAGCAGUAGGGAAUCUUCGGCAAUGGACGGAAGUCUGACCGAGCAACGCCGCGUGAGUGAAGAAGGGUUUCGGAUCGUAAAGCUCUGUUGUAAGAGAAGAACGAGUGUGAGAGUGGAAAGUUCACACUGUGACGGUAUCUUACCAGAAAGGGACGGCUAACUACGUG
rnacentral:rRNA from 1 species